rnacentral:piRNA from 1 species
UCGAGGUCUCGGAGUUCGGAUUGAGGA